GGGGGCGAUCGGUUUCGACUGGAACGUCAUUAGUCUGGGUUGCGUGUCGAGGUUGAAAUGAGGUCCUCGUAAAAAUCAUUUCAAGGCUUUAACUGCCGAUAAUAACUACCAACUCGCAGCCUAGUGCUGUGUCACCUUGAAGAAUCCCGCUUGUCGAUUCUCUUGGUGCUUGAUGACGAGCUAGCGACCAGACCCUGGCCCAGGGAAAGGAAGCGAAAUUUAAUGGGCUGGAUGUCGUAAAGCUUUGUCAGCUGUGCAUUGCGCCAUUGAGAUUUAACAGCCGAAUACACACGUAGAUGCUCUUGCUUAGGCCUCUUAGGACGCGGGUUCGAUUCCCGCCGCCUCCACCA
rnacentral:tmRNA from 1 species